UACGGGGGGGGCAAGCGUUGUUCGGAAUUACUGGGCGUAAAGGGCUCGUAGGUGGCCAACUAAGUCAGACGUGAAAUCCCCAGGCUCAACUUGGGAACUGCGUCUGAUACUGGAUGGCUUGAAUUCGGGAGAGGGAUGCAGAAUUCCAGGUGUAGCGGUGAAAUGCGUAGAUAUCUGGAGGAAUACCGGUGGCGAAGGCGGCAUCCUGGACCGAGAUUGACACUGAUGAGC
rnacentral:rRNA from 1 species